UGUGGAGGGAGGUAGGGAAAGAGGGACUUCUCUCCGAAGAAUUGCCCUGAAAUAAGUGCAAGAAUCGUCUGAUGGAUCACAGAAGCUGAACUCUGAUGGAACUCUGACUUUGAACUUCACUUUUGCUCAGAUGGGAAUAAAAAUGACUUUUUAUAAGUAAGGACCUUAAUCGUCAUGACUCUGCAUCAGUUCGUGUCAUAGUUGUGACUGGAUCAUGAAGAAACAAUCUACAUACAACCUAGAAG
ensembl:lncRNA